AGAGUUUGAUCCUGGCUCAGAACGAACGCUGGCGGCGCGCCUAAUACAUGCAAGUCGAGCGAGAAGGUGUAGCAAUACACUUGUAAAGCGGCGAACGGGUGAGGAAUACAUGGGUAAUCUACCAUCGAGUGGGGAAUAACCAACCGAAAGGUUGGCUAAUACCGCGUACGCCUCCGAGUCUUCGGGUUCGGAGGGAAAGCUGCACUGUGAGUGUAGCGCUCUUUGAUGAGCUCAUGUCCUAUCAGCUUGUUGGUAGGGUAACGGUCUACCAAGGCUUUGACGGGUAGCUGGUCUGAGAGGACGAUCAGCCACACUGGCACUGCGACACGGGCCAGACUCCUACGGGAGGCAGCAGUAAGGAAUAUUGCGCAAUGGGCGAAAGCCUGACGCAGCGACGCCGCGUGGGGGAUGAAGGUCUUCGGAUUGUAAACCCCUUUCGGGAGGGAAGAUGGAGCGAGCAAUCGUUCGGACGGUACCUCCAGAAGCAGCCACGGCCAACUUCGUGCCAGCAGCCGCGGUAAUACGAAGGUGGCAAGCGUUGUUCGGAUUCACUGGGCGUACAGGGUGUGUAGGCGGUUUGGUAAGCCUUCUGUUAAAGCUUCGGGCCCAACCCGGAAAGCGCAGAGGGUACUGCCAGGCUAGAGGGUGGGAGAGGAGCGCGGAAUUCCCGGUGUAGCGGUGAAAUGCGUAGAGAUCGGGAGGAAGGCCGGUGGCGAAGGCGGCGCUCUGGAACAUACCUGACGCUGAGACACGAAAGCGUGGGGAGCAAACAGGUUUAGAUACCCUGGUAGUCCACGCCC
rnacentral:rRNA from 1 species